rnacentral:lncRNA from 1 species
ACUAUUUUCAAAAACUAACAUAUAUUUUAAACAAAAAAAAUACAAUUUAAAAACACCAAAUAUAAUUUUUCAAAUACAUAUAAAAUCAUCUAACCUAACGAAAAUUUCAUUUAAAAUUAAUCAACUUGAUAUGUACUAUUUUUUAAAAAUAAAUGACAUAAAAUUAAGGAAUAGUUUUUUAGGAAUAUGAUUUUUCAAAUCAAAUAUAAUUUUAAAAGUCGAUAUAAAAUAAACAGCAC